GAGUUUGAUCCCUGGCUCAGGACGAACGCUGGCGGUAUGCUUAACACAUGCAAGUCGAACGAGAAGGAAGAGCUUGCUCUUCCUGAAAGUGGCGAACGGGUGAGUAACGCGUGGGUAACCUACCCUUUGGAAAGGAAUAGCCUCGGGAAACUGGGAGUAAUGCCUUAUAAGAUACGUUUGUCGCAUGGCAUUUGUAUUAAACGCUCCGGCGCCAUAGGAUGGACCCGCGUCCCAUUAGCUAGUUGGUGAGAUAACAGCUCACCAAGGCCACGAUGGGUAACCGGUCUGAGAGGGCGAACGGUCACACUGGAACUGAGACACGGUCCAGACUCCUACGGGAGGCAGCAGUGGGGAAUAUUGCGCAAUGGGGGCAACCCUGACGCAGCAAUACCGCGUGAGUGAAGAAGGUUUUCGGAUCGUAAAGCUCUGUUAUUGGGGAAGAAAAAAAGACGGUACCCAAGAAGAAAGUUCCGGCUAACUACGUGCCAGCAGCCGCGGUAAUACGUAGGGAACAAGCGUUGUCCGGAUUUACUGGGCGUAAAGGGCACGCAGGCGGUUUUUUAAGUCAGAUGUGAAAGGCCACAGCUCAACUGUGGACAUGCAUUUGAAACUGAAAGACUUGAGUAUUGGAGAGGCAAGUGGAAUUCCUAGUGUAGCGGUGAAAUGCGAGUUUGAUCCCUGGCUCAGGACGAACGCUGGCGGUAUGCUUAACACAUGCAAGUCGAACGAGAAGGAAGAGCUUGCUCUUCCUGAAAGUGGCGAACGGGUGAGUAACGCGUGGGUAACCUACCCUUUGGAAAGGAAUAGCCUCGGGAAACUGGGAGUAAUGCCUUAUAAGAUACGUUUGUCGCAUGGCAUUUGUAUUAAACGCUCCGGCGCCAUAGGAUGGACCCGCGUCCCAUUAGCUAGUUGGUGAGAUAACAGCUCACCAAGGCCACGAUGGGUAACCGGUCUGAGAGGGCGAACGGUCACACUGGAACUGAGACACGGUCCAGACUCCUACGGGAGGCAGCAGUGGGGAAUAUUGCGCAAUGGGGGCAACCCUGACGCAGCAAUACCGCGUGAGUGAAGAAGGUUUUCGGAUCGUAAAGCUCUGUUAUUGGGGAAGAAAAAAAGACGGUACCCAAGAAGAAAGUUCCGGCUAACUACGUGCCAGCAGCCGCGGUAAUACGUAGGGAACAAGCGUUGUCCGGAUUUACUGGGCGUAAAGGGCACGCAGGCGGUUUUUUAAGUCAGAUGUGAAAGGCCACAGCUCAACUGUGGACAUGCAUUUGAAACUGAAAGACUUGAGUAUUGGAGAGGCAAGUGGAAUUCCUAGUGUAGCGGUGAAAUGC
rnacentral:rRNA from 1 species